CUUACAAGCAAAGUUUCUACUGUGAAUGAAUUUAAUCGUUGUUUUUCUUUUUAUGCAGUUUGAAUCUUAUUAUGAGAAAAAUUCCACUCGAAUGAGAUACCAAGAAGCAGCAUCCACUCGAGAUUCAGAUCCAGAAAAAUUAUACAACUUAAAAUGUGAUCGGGGUAAAGCUUUGAAAAGUGCUAAUGAGAUUCCUCCAAGUUGGACCAGUUUCCGAGUUCUCAGGAGAAGCAUGUUGGCCAGGCGUUACAAUCUACUGCUGGCUCAGGCAGAGGACUGUGCACGUGAUCACAAGGGGUGGCCAGAAAUGGGCUCCCUCGCAGGAGAGCCUGGAUUCGGUGGGGAAGAGAAAACAAAGAUCGCAAUUAAAUCAACCCCCCUUAACCAGGACUCUUUGACCCAUGUCAGCAUCCCCCAUGGUACCCAACCAAACGCAUGGAAAAGAAGAUGGUGA
rnacentral:lncRNA from 1 species